UCCCCGAAGUAAAUCUGAGCUUUGUGCAGCUCCGGAGCCAGAGCGUCCAGAUGCGGUCCGGGAGAUUAGCAAAGUCGGUGGAAGCCAAGCUGGAGAAAGCGCGGGCGCAGGGAGAAAAGUAGCCCCAAGUGCCCUGCAUUUGCUCUUCUAACAAAGUUCUGUUUGUUGACGGACUGACCGGCUUACCGACACAAAGAUGGGAAGCAAAUGGAGAGACGGAUCAAGGCCCUUCCUCGGCAUCUGGAGGAAGCUUGGGCGAGUGUCUUGGUCGCCAGAGCUCAGAGCUCUCCGCUGAACUCUUAUCUCCAACUUGGCAACUAGACCGCGAGCUUGCGAAGCAAGGAGAGGACAGGGAUGGUCACCUACCGAGAACCUCUGUGCUCCAGCGCUGGGCCUGGCAUGUUCCCCAUCCAUCAUCUCAUUUAAUUCCCAGGACAGCCCUUUGAGGUAGGGUUUACCAAAGGUGAAUGAAACAGAGCCUCGGGAAAUUGCCCAAGUUCACAUAGCCACGUGGCUGAGUGUUUGAAUCUGGAUCAGGCUGUCUGCAAAGUUUUUACCCUCAGCCCUAAUCCCCGCUGCCUAGGAGGGUAAGGAGGCUGUCUAGAG